rnacentral:rRNA from 1 species
AUGAUCAUCCCCGACAUGCUCAAGAAUGCGCCCAUGUUCGAGCGCCUCGAGGCCAGGAUAAGGGGCAAGGGGUUGGUCAUCCGUGUCGGGCGCGGCCGCGCCGUCGCGAUGCGUGCCCGGUAA